CCCUUAGAUGUUCUGGGCCGCACGCGCGCUACACUGAUGCAUUCAACGAGCCUAUCCUUGACCGACAGGUCCGGGUAAUCUUUGAAUCUGCAUCGUGACGGGGAUAGAUUAUUGCAAUUAUUAAUCUUCAACGAGGAAUGCCUAGUAGGCGCAAGUCAUCAGCUUGCGUCGAUUACGUCCCUGCCCUUUGUACACACCGCCCGUCGCUCCUACCGAUUGGGUGUGCUGGUGAAAUGUUCGGACCGGCCGUUUGUCGCGGUUUCCGCGUCAUGUGGCUGAGAAGUUCAUUAAACCCUCCCACCUAGAGGAAGGAGAAGUCGUAACA
rnacentral:rRNA from 1 species